rnacentral:tRNA from 1 species
GGUGCAGUGGUGCAGGGGUUAGCACUGUUGCCUCGCAAGAAGGAGGUGCUGGGUUUGAGUCCUGGCCUCUCUG